rnacentral:rRNA from 1 species
GAUGAACGCUGGCGGCGUGCCUAAUACAUGCAAGUCGAGCGAACAGAUGAGGAGCUUGCUCCUCUGACGUUAGCGGCGGACGGGUGAGUAACACGUGGAUAACCUACCUAUAAGACUGGGAUAACUUCGGGAAACCGGAGCUAAUACCGGAUAAUAUAUUGAACCGCAUGGUUCAAUAGUGAAAGACGGUUUUGCUGUCACUUAUAGAUGGAUCCGCGCCGCAUUAGCUAGUUGGUAAGGUAACGGCUUACCAAGGCAACGAUGCGUAGCCGACCUGAGGGUGAUCGGCCACACUGGAACUGAGACACGGUCCAGACUCCUACGGGAGGCAGCAGUAGGGAAUCUUCCGCAAUGGGCGAAAGCCUGACGGAGCAACGCCGCGUGAGUGAUGAAGGUCUUCGGAUCGUAAAACUCUGUUAUUAGGGAAGAACAAAUGUGUAAGUAACUAUGCACGUCUUGACGGUACCUAAUCAGAAAGCCACGGCUAACUACGUG